AUGGAGCCGACCUUGAAAUACCACCCUUUAAUGUUUGAUGUUCUAACGUUGACCCGUAAUCCGGGUUGCGGACAGUGUCUGGUGGGUAGUUUGACUGGGGCGGUCUCCUCCUAAAGAGUAACGGAGGAGCACGAAGGUUGGCUAAUCCUGGUCGGACAUCAGGAGGUUAGUGCAAUGGCAUAAGCCAGCUUGACUGCGAGCGUGACGGCGCGAGCAGGUGCGAAAGCAGGUCAUAGUGAUCCGGUGGUUCUGAAUGGAAGGGCCAUCGCUCAACGGAUAAAAGGUACUCCGGGGAUAACAGGCUGAUACCGCCCAAGAGUUCAUAUCGACGGCGGUGUUUGGCACCUCGAUGUCGGCUCAUCACAUCCUGGGGCUGAAGUAGGUCCCAAGGGUAUGGCUGUUCGCCAUUUAAAGUGGUACGCGAGCUGGGUUUAGAACGUCGUGAGACAGUUCGGUCCCUAUCUGCCGUGGGCGCUGGAGAACUGAGGGGGGCUGCUCCUAGUACGAGAGGACCGGAGUGGACGCAUCACUGGUGUUCGGGUUGUCAUGCCAAUGGCACUGCCCGGUAGCUAAAUGCGGAAGAGAUA
rnacentral:rRNA from 1 species